rnacentral:rRNA from 1 species
AACAGGAUUAGAUACCCUGGUAGUCCAUGCCNNNNNCGAUGAGUGCUAAGUGUUGGAGGGUUUCCGCCCUUCNNNGCUGCAGCUAACGCAUUAAGCACUCCGCCUGGGGAGUACGACCGCAAGGUUGAAACUCAAAGGAAUUGACGGGGGCCCGCACAAGCGGUGGAGCAUGUGGUUUAAUUCGAUGCUACGCGAAGAACCUUACCAGGUCUUGACAUCUUCUGCCAACCUAAGAGAUUAGGCGUUCCCUUCGGGGACAGAAUGACAGGUGGUGCAUGGUUGUCGUCAGCUCGUGUCGUGAGAUGUUGGGUUAAGUCCCGCAACGAGCGCAACCCUUAUUGUUAGUUGCCAGCAUUCAGUUGGGCACUCUAGCAAGACUGCCGGUGACAAACCGGAGGAAGGUGGGGAUGACGUCAAAUCAUCAUGCCCCUUAUGACCUGGGCUACACACGUGCUACAAUGGACGGUACAACGAGUCGCGAAACCGCGAGGUCAAGCUAAUCUCUUAAAGCCGUUCUCAGUUCGGAUUGUAGGCUGCAACUCGCCUACAUGAAGUUGGAAUCGCUAGUAAUCGUGGAUCAGCAUGCCACGGUGAAUACGUUCCCGGGCCUUGUACACACCGCCCGUCACACCAUGAGAGUUUGUAACACCCAAAGCCGGUGAGGUAACCUUCGGGGACCAGCCGUCUAAGGUGGGACAGAUGAUUAGGGUGAAGUCGUAACAAGGUAACC